rnacentral:sRNA from 1 species
AUUACAAAUAUUACACUACACUUUUGUGUAAUAUUAAGAUCACUUCAAUUUUGGAGGUUGUACUAUAAUGUUCACCUUUGACCUUUGACCUUUGUCAAACUCGCACUAUUUCCACAUUUUCUUCUAAUAGUUGGAGAUUUUUGGGAUGAAUAACCAUAAUAAAGAUAUAUGUAGAAGCUAUUUAUUGUUUAUGUGAAGAACAUUAGAUAACAGUGGUUAAUCUAUAUUUUAGUCAAUGAUUCUGUCAACAACAAAAAAAGUUGUCAUACUGUGAUAUUUAUUAUUUUUUGUGCAUUUAUGUCUACAGUUUAUUAUAUUUUAAUAUAAAAGAUACUUUUUUAUUGAAAGAUUUAUUCCACUUGAUGAUUUGUUUCCACAAAAUAAAGUGUGGUUCUAUUUGAG